rnacentral:rRNA from 1 species
UCCAGAGGGUGCGAGCGUUAAUCGGAAUUACUGGGCGUAAAGCGCGCGUAGGCGGCUUUGCAAGUCGGGUGUGAAAUCCCCAGGCUUAACCUGGGAACUGCAUUCGAGACUGCAUUGCUAGAGUAUGGGAGAGGGAAGUGGAAUUUCAGGUGUAGCGGUGAAAUGCGUAGAUAUCUGAAGGAACAUCAGUGGCGAAAGCGACUUCCUGGACCAAUACUGACGCUCAUGUGCGAAAGCGUGGGGAGCAAACAGG